GGGUUGUGAGGUUAAGCGACUAAGCGUACACGGUGGAUGCCCUGGCAGUCAGAGGCGAUGAAGGACGUGCUAAUCUGCGAUAAGCGCCGGUAAGGUGAUAUGAACCGUUAUAACCGGCGAUUUCCGAAUGGGGAAACCCAGUGUGAUUCGUCACACUAUCAUUAACUGAAUCCAUAGGUUAAUGAGGCGAACCGGGGGAACUGAAACAUCUAAGUACCCCGAGGAAAAGAAAUCAACCGAGAUUCCCCCAGUAGCGGCGAGCGAACGGGGAGGAGCCCAGAGCCUGAAUCAGCAUGUGUGUUAGUGGAAGCGUCUGGAAAGGCGCGCGAUACAGGGUGACAGCCCCGUACACAAAAGCGCAUGUGCUGUGAGCUCGAUGAGUAGGGCGGGACACGUGGUAUCCUGUCUGAAUAUGGGGGGACCAUCCUCCAAGGCUAAAUACUCCUGACUGACCGAUAGUGAACCAGUACCGUGAGGGAAAGGCGAAAAGAACCCCGGCGAGGGGAGUGAAAAAGAACCUGAAACCGUGUACGUACAAGCAGUGGGAGCACAGGUUUACCUGUGUGACUGCGUACCUUUUGUAUAAUGGGUCAGCGACUUAUAUUCUGUAGCAAGGUUAACCGUAUAGGGGAGCCGUAGGGAAACCGAGUCUUAACCGGGCGUUAAGUUGCAGGGUAUAGACCCGAAACCCGGUGAUCUAGCCAUGGGCAGGUUGAAGGUUGGGUAACACUAACUGGAGGACCGAACCGACUAAUGUUGAAAAAUUAGCGGAUGACCUGUGGCUGGGGGUGAAAGGCCAAUCAAACCGGGAGAUAGCUGGUUCUCCCCGAAAGCUAUUUAGGUAGCGCCUCGUGAAUUCAUCUCCGGGGGUAGAGCACUGUUUCGGCUAGGGGGCCAUCCCGGCUUACCAACCCGAUGCAAACUGCGAAUACCGGAGAAUGUUAUCACGGGAGACACACGGCGGGUGCUAACGUCCGUCGUGAAGAGGGAAACAACCCAGACCGCCAGCUAAGGUCCCAAAGUCAUGGUUAAGUGGGAAACGAUGUGGGAAGGCCCAGACAGCCAGGAUGUUGGCUUAGAAGCAGCCAUCAUUUAAAGAAAGCGUAAUAGCUCACUGGUCGAGUCGGCCUGCGCGGAAGAUGUAACGGGGCUAAACCAUGCACCGAAGCUGCGGCAGCGAACGUAUCACCCAAGACAACUUUACGGAGUUGACGAUUGACGGAGCGAAGCGACGUCAAAGCGUUCAUUAAAGUCGAGUUGGCUUAGGGAUACGUUCGUUGGGUAGGGGAGCGUUCUGUAAGCCUGUGAAGGUGUGUCGUGAGGCAUGCUGGAGGUAUCAGAAGUGCGAAUGCUGACAUAAGUAACGAUAAAGCGGGUGAAAAGCCCGCUCGCCGGAAGACCAAGGGUUCCUGUCCAACGUUAAUCGGGGCAGGGUGAGUCGACCCCUAAGGCGAGGCCGAAAGGCGUAGUCGAUGGGAAACGGGUUAAUAUUCCCGUACUUGGUGUUACUGCGAAGGGGGGACGGAGAAGGCUAUGUUGGCCGGGCGACGGUUGUCCCGGUUUAAGCGUGUAGGUGUGUGUUCCAGGUAAAUCCGGUUCACUUUAACACUGAGGCGUGACGACGAGGCACUACGGUGCUGAAGCAACAAAUGCCCUGCUUCCAGGAAAAGCCUCUAAGCAUCAGGUAACAUCAAAUCGUACCCCAAACCGACACAGGUGGUCAGGUAGAGAAUACCAAGGCGCUUGAGAGAACUCGGGUGAAGGAACUAGGCAAAAUGGUGCCGUAACUUCGGGAGAAGGCACGCUGACACGUAGGUGAAGUGAUUUACUCAUGGAGCUGAAGUCAGUCGAAGAUACCAGCUGGCUGCAACUGUUUAUUAAAAACACAGCACUGUGCAAACACGAAAGUGGACGUAUACGGUGUGACGCCUGCCCGGUGCCGGAAGGUUAAUUGAUGGGGUCAGCGCAAGCGAAGCUCCUGAUCGAAGCCCCGGUAAACGGCGGCCGUAACUAUAACGGUCCUAAGGUAGCGAAAUUCCUUGUCGGGUAAGUUCCGACCUGCACGAAUGGCGUAAUGAUGGCCAGGCUGUCUCCACCCGAGACUCAGUGAAAUUGAACUCGCUGUGAAGAUGCAGUGUACCCGCGGCAAGACGGAAAGACCCCGUGAACCUUUACUAUAGCUUGACACUGAACAUUGAGCCUUGAUGUGUAGGAUAGGUGGGAGGCUUUGAAGUGUGGACGCCAGUCUGCAUGGAGCCGACCUUGAAAUACCACCCUUUAAUGUUUGAUGUUCUAACGUGGACCCGUAAUCCGGGUUGCGGACAGUGUCUGGUGGGUAGUUUGACUGGGGCGGUCUCCUCCUAAAGAGUAACGGAGGAGCACGAAGGUUGGCUAAUCCUGGUCGGACAUCAGGAGGUUAGUGCAAUGGCAUAAGCCAGCUUGACUGCGAGCGUGACGGCGCGAGCAGGUGCGAAAGCAGGUCAUAGUGAUCCGGUGGUUCUGAAUGGAAGGGCCAUCGCUCAACGGAUAAAAGGUACUCCGGGGAUAACAGGCUGAUACCGCCCAAGAGUUCAUAUCGACGGCGGUGUUUGGCACCUCGAUGUCGGCUCAUCACAUCCUGGGGCUGAAGUAGGUCCCAAGGGUAUGGCUGUUCGCCAUUUAAAGUGGUACGCGAGCUGGGUUUAGAACGUCGUGAGACAGUUCGGUCCCUAUCUGCCGUGGGCGCUGGAGAACUGAGGGGGGCUGCUCCUAGUACGAGAGGACCGGAGUGGACGCAUCACUGGUGUUCGGGUUGUCAUGCCAAUGGCACUGCCCGGUAGCUAAAUGCGGAAGAGAUAAGUGCUGAAAGCAUCUAAGCACGAAACUUGCCCCGAGAUGAGUUCUCCCUGAGACUUAGAGUCUCCUGAAGGAACGUUGAAGACGACGACGUUGAUAGGCCGGGUGUGUAAGCGCAGCGAUGCGUUGAGCUAACCGGUACUAAUGAACCGUGAGGCUUAACCUUACAACGCCGAAG
rnacentral:rRNA from 2 species